GGUGGGCUUGGGCUGGUGACGCGUGCGCCGGCCGGCCGCCGAGGGGCUACCGUUCUGCCUCCGACCGGUCGUGUAAAUACUAGGCUUUAGAAUUUCACCAUAUGAAUUUUGGGAGAGAGGAGCACAGUUCAGCCCAUAACUAACACACGACGGAAUGAAGUUGAUAAUAGUGAGACCUUGUUGGUACAAGACUAUGUAACAUAACCUGCGCUUCUCAACAAAGAAUUGCUUUUCUGACUUCUGCACUCAAUAGCAAGACAAAUCUCUCCUCUGCCUUCUCCUUAUCAGACUACUCAACAUGAAGGCAAUAAGAAUGAAGACCUCUAUGUAUAAUAAUUGACUUCCACUUAAUAAAUACCUGAACAGAUGUUGAGUACAAGCUGAUCCACCUACGUUCAACCUGAGAGAGUCCACAUCCACAGACUGUUUCAUUUCCCUUUUUCAAUUUACAUAGAAGCAUAGAUUCUUGCUGGCAUAUACAAAUGCGCCAUUUAAGGCAAUCAAAAAUGGUUCCACAUCUCAUCUGAUUUCCACAAUUGUUGCUGUAACGAUGGACUACUGAGGAGAGAGACAAUUUCUCUGGCACAUCUUCCCACAUUUUAGCAACAUGUUCAUGGAGAGCCAAUAUUCAGUAAUUACAGCCCAAUUCCUCACAAUUUCACAAUUCGCUAACAAUAUGCAUUUUCACAAUGUAAAGCUGAUUUUCCUUUAACCAAAUCAAACAUGAAAAGAUAGCUGCAUGCAAUGGGCAAUCUAGAUCAUUAGAAGAUUGAUGUAAAAUUAGAGGACACUGAGACUGGAAUAGAUUGCAAACUUCAGGGAGCUCAGAAAACUUGUAAACUCUACAUUUUGAGGAAAUAUGUUGUCGAUGCUUUUGCAACUCUAUGCAGUAACUUAACAAAUAAAGCCUUAAAGUAACUUA
rnacentral:lncRNA from 1 species